rnacentral:lncRNA from 10 species
AUUUGAGACACAGAAUCGCAGAGAGGAGAAGGCCACGUGAAGAUGGAGGCAGAGACGAGCGACGCAGCCAUGAGCCAAGGGACGCCUGGAGACACGGGAAGCCGGAAGAGGCUGGGAAGGAUCCUCCCCUAGAGCCACCAUGGGGAGCAGGGCCCUGCCAGGCCCUGGAUUUCAAACCUGUGGCCUCCAGCACUGUGAGUGAACGCAUCGCUGUUGUCUCAGGCCACUCAGUUUCUGGUCAUUUGUGACAGCGGCCUCAGGACAUGAAUACAGCUAUGCUUCAGAGAGGACUGCACGAAGCUGAGGCCCGAGCCCUGACCUGGGAUCACAGAAUCUGCAUCACAGAAGAUAUCCAGUUGGGCAAGACCCCGCCUCCCUGACAGGUGGCACAGGAGGGUGGUUGGAGCAGGAGGGUGGGAAGUGAUACGUGGAUCUUGGAAGAACAGCCUGGCUCUACCACUCGCCGUGUGUCUGUGGGUAUGUGAGUCCCCACUCUGUGCUGUGGCCUCCUCAUGCAGAGAAAGGAGCUGAUAAAAGUCACCGAGUUAAACUUAACACAAAGUGAGUUCAUGUGUGUGAACUCUCUCAAAAACGGUGCUGGCACACAGUAGGUGCUCAAGCAGCGCAAGCAUUUUACACAGUCACUGCCGUGGCUGUUCGGAGUCUUAUUUGCAGUCUGUAUCAUGCUGCUCAGCAGUUAAGCUUUUGUUGGAUCUGAGCUCUGUCUUAACAAAAGGGGACAGGACCCCCUUCCCUCUGCGGUCCUUCUGCCCAGGCAUGUGACGAAGGUGGUGAACUCAGCACUCACUGAACACCCGCCCAUCCCACCCCGGAUGGGGACUCUGGGGUGUGCAUCAGCAGUUUCAAGAAACACAGAAUGACCACCUGACCCAGCAAUUCCACUCCUAGGUAUGUACCCUAAGGAACUGAAAACGAAAACUGGUACAAAAACGUUUAUGUCGACAUUAUUCACAACCAUAAGUUAGAAACAGCCCAAGUGUCCCUGAACUAGUGAAUGGAUAAACUAAUUGUGGUCUAACCACAUGGUGGAACGUUAUUCACCCACAAACAGAAGGUAGUACGGACACAUGCUACCAUACGGAUGAACCUAAAGCACACGAUGCUGAAAGAAGCCAGACAAAAGGUUGCCUAGAGCAUGAUUCUGUGGGUGGAAAAUGCCCGGAACAGGCAGACCCAAGACCCAGAGGGGAUGAGUAUUUGCCUGGGGCUGGGAGGGAGAUGGAGAGUGAGUGCUAAUGGGUUUGAUGGUAAAUUUUAUGGUCUGUGUAUUUUACCACAAUAAAAAAGACAUACCCAAGUGAAAAAAAAAGUGUAUAAACACAUGACAAAAUGUAUUACUAACAGACACAUAUAAAGAAGUAAAAUUCCACAAAGAUAAGCCUUGUUAUGCGGACACUGUCUCCUGGUGGCAGCAUCCCUGGUUUUUUCUUUGGCUUCUCUGCAUUACCAAUUUUAUUUGUGUCUGACAUGAUUUACUCGAAACACAGUGAAAUAAUGCUAAUGUAAAAGCUGGCUAUCAGGCAGAUAUGGGGGUAAAGUUUACUCAAAAUUUCCUAGGACCAGGGGUACAAUUCCCCCUGUAAACCCCUCAGGAUUCCAGUGGGCCUGGGGAGAGAAGGCUGGCACCUUCCAGGGAAGGGCUGGCUUCUCACGCUCUCUCUGAUGUAAAUGAAUCCACCCCUCCACCUCCAUCAGCUUUUCAAGUUCAGGCCCUGAUGGAGAGGGGGAAGGGGUUUGGGAGGAAGGAGACCCUUG